rnacentral:rRNA from 1 species
UGGGGAAUCUUGCGCAAUGGACGAAAGUCUGACGCAGCCACGCCGCGUGAGUGAAGAAGGCCUUCGGGUUGUAAAGCUCUGUCGGAAGGGACAAAAACGUUUACGGUUAAUAGCCGUAGAUCUUGAUGGUACCUUUAAAGGAAGCACCGGCUAACUUCGUGCCAGCAGCCGCGGUAAUACGAAGGGUGCAAGCGUUGCUCGGAAUUAUUGGGCGUAAAGGGUAGGUAGGUGGUUACGUAUGUCUGAGGUGAAAUCCCUGAGCUUAACUCAGGAAGUGCCUUGGAAACGGCGUAACUAGAGUGCUAGAGAGGUUCGUGGAAUUCCCAGUGUAGCGGUGAAAUGCGUAGAGAUUGGGAGGAACACCAGAGGCGAAGGCGGCGAACUGGAUAGCAACUGACACUGAACUACGAAAGCGUGGGUAGCAAACAGG